UACGUCCAUAGACUAAAUCAGAUUUAACUCUUGCCAUACGUCCACAGCCUUACCGCACGCACCGCCGCCUCUCCUACCUGAGUACCUUCUGUCCUCUUUACUUCAACCAGCAAACCACCAUGUCAAAGCCCCAGGACCAGGAGAGGCAAACAACCUCUGUUCGUAGCUUCACGCCACCUCCUCACGCUAGCCUUUGCACUGCGGCCUCCAGCGCUCCCUGCGCUAGCCUUUGCACUGCGGCCUCCAGCGCUCCCUGCGCUAGCCUCUGCUUUUGCGCUGCAUGUACUGCUCCCGAGGAAGCUAUGGCAAGGGGUGCCUUGGCCGAUGAGUGCAAAGGCGGCGGCACCGGUGGACCUGGCUUAUGGCGCGAGCGCUCUUGGCGGCCUGGGGGCACGACAUUGGCUGAUGUCCUCUUCGAUUCUCUCUGAUUUUAUGAUUCGAAAUUUUCUCCAAUUUCCUCUUCCAUCGAUUCGUGUAUGGAUGUAGAAGAAUCUGGAUUGGUUUGGUUCGUUGCUGGGUAUGUGUCAUGCCUGAGUUGGAUACCAGAUAGCUAUGAUCUUUAGUUUGCUGUGGCCUCGAAUCAAUUCGAUAUGUGGAGGGAUUUGGUCUUUCAGAGGAUGCUUUCGGACUACAGAGGGGGAUUAGUCAGGAGGCCAGACGAAAUUAGAUCCAGACGAAAUUUGAGGCUGAAAUUUUGUCUCUUUAAGAAUUGUAUAUAUAUACGGACAGAGAUAUAUCUAUAUGGACAUGUCGGACGGAACGGAUAGAACGUCCGGCAGACUGAAAUUUUCAUCUUUAAAUAUUAGGGAUAGAUGUAUGUAUAUAUAUACUAUUAUUAUUGUAUCAUUUUGUAUCAUUUUGUUCUUGUAUCAUUAUUUUACACUA